AUUGAACGCUGGCGGCAGGCUUAACACAUGCAAGUCGAGCGGGGUGAUGGUGCUUGCACUAUCACUUAGCGGCGGACGGGUGAGUAAUGCUUAGGAAUCUGCCUAUUAGUGGGGGACAACAUCUCGAAAGGGAUGCUAAUACCGCAUACGUCCUACGGGAGAAAGCAGGGGAUCACUUGUGACCUUGCGCUAAUAGAUGAGCCUAAGUCGGAUUAGCUAGUUGGUGGGGUAAAGGCCUACCAAGGCGACGAUCUGUAGCGGGUCGGAGAGGAUGAUCCGCCCCACUGGGACUGAGGCACGGCCCGGACUCCUACGGGAGGCAGCAGUGGGGAAUAUUGGACAAUGGGGGGAACCCUGAUCCAGCCAUGCCGCGUGUGUGAAGAAGGCCUUAUGGUUGUAAAGCACUUUAAGCGAGGAGGAGGCUCUUUUGGUUAAUACCCAAGAUGAGUGGACGUUACUCGCAGAAUAAGCACCGGCUAACUCUGUGCCAGCCGCCGCCGUAA
rnacentral:rRNA from 1 species